AAAAAGGCAAAAAACGUUGCAAUGAGCUGAAAAAAAUAAUGAUAGUUCUAGCAGGAAGAAUAGCUGAGGAAAAUAAUGUGCAAGCGAAAUGUUUCGAAAUGGUCUUAAGCUGGUGCUUAAGAUGUCAUGAGUCGAACAGAGAGCCAUAUUAGCAUCUUAAGACAUUGUUUGAAGCGGUUUUGAAAUUAAGAAUGAACUACGAACCAACCUGAGCAAGAAAAUUAAAUCACUAAAAUGAUAAACUGUCAACAGUCAAGAUUUUCCGCCAAUUGGCCAUGUACGCGCUGCACGCUCUGAUGCAUCCGUAGACUACAGCCGCAAUUUUCUACAUUUCUGAAAAUGAAAAAUUUUUUUGUAAUAUAAAAAACGUAAUGCAAAAAG